rnacentral:snoRNA from 1 species
CCAACGUGGAUAUCCGGAGAAGUUGCUCUCUCUCGGCUCUGUCCGUGUGGCGCAUGGGAGCGUAGGCCCUCGGGCCCAUGACGUACGGUCCCUUUCCACGACGUUGGAGAUCAAGCCGGGCCUCGAGUCUGCAGCCUGCAUAUUCCUACUGCUUCUCCGAGCCUUCGGGUGAUGACGGAGGAGAUAAACCAUGCAGGAAACACUC